UACGUAGGGUGCAAGCGUUGUCCGGAAUUAUUGGGCGUAAAGAGCUCGUAGGCGGUCUGUUGCGUCGGCUGUGAAAACCCGGGGCUCAACUCCGGGCCUGCAGCCGAUACGGGCAGACUAGAGGUAUGCAGGGGAGAACGGAAUUCCUGGUGUAGCGGUGAAAUGCGCAGAUAUCAGGAGGAACACCGGUGGCGAAGGCGGGUCUCUGGGAAACAACUGACGCUGAGGAACGAAAGCGUGGGUAGCAAACAGG
rnacentral:rRNA from 1 species